UACGUAGGCAGCGAGCGUUGUUCGGAGUUACUGGGCGUAAAGAGUGCGUAGGCGGUUUUCUAAGUUUGGUGUGAAAUCUCCCGGCUUAACUGGGAGGGUGCGCCGAAGACUGGAAGGCUUGAGUAUGGGAGAGGUAAGCGGAAUUCCUGGUGUAGCGGUGAAAUGCUUAGAUAUCGUCAAGAACACCGAUAGCGAAGGCAGCUUACUAAGCUCUAACUGACACUGAUGCACGAAAGUGUGGGGAUCAAACAGG
rnacentral:rRNA from 1 species